AUGUGGCAGGAGGCCUAACACAUGCAAGUCGAGCGCGCCCUUCGGGGUGAGCGGCGGACGGGUUAGUAACGCGUGGGAACGUACCCAGAUCUACGGAAUAGCCUUUGGAAACGAAGAGUAAUACCGUAUACGCCCUUCGGGGGAAAGAUUUAUCGGAUUUGGAUCGGCCCGCGUUAGAUUAGAUAGUUGGUGGGGUAACGGCCUACCAAGUCUACGAUCUAUAGCUGGUUUUAGAGGAUGAUCAGCAACACUGGGACUGAGACACGGCCCAGACUCCUACGGGAGGCAGCAGUGGGGAAUCUUGGACAAUGGGCGCAAGCCUGAUCCAGCCAUGCCGCGUGAGUGAUGAAGGCCCUAGGGUCGUGAAGCUCUUUCGCCAGGGAUGAUAAUGACAGUACCUGGUAAAGAAACCCCGGCUAACUCCGUGCCAGCAGCCGCGGUAAUACGGAGGGGGUUAGCGUUGUUCGGAAUUACUGGGCGUAAAGCGCGCGUAGGCGGGUUGUUAAGUUAGAGGUGAAAUCCCGGGGCUCAACCCCGGAACUGCCUUUAAUACUGGCAACCUAGAGUUCGAGAGAGGUGAGUGGAAUUCCGAGUGUAGAGGUGAAAUUCGUAGAUAUUCGGAGGAACACCAGUGGCGAAGGCGGCUCACUGGCUCGAUACUGACGCUGAGGUGCGAAAGUGUGGGGAGCAAACAGGAUUAGAUACCCUGGUAGUCCACACCGUAAACGAUGAAUGCCAGUCGUCGGGUAGCAUGCUAUUCGGUGACACACCUAACGGAUUAAGCAUUCCGCCUGGGGAGUACGGUUGCAAGAUUAAAACUCAAA
rnacentral:rRNA from 1 species